ensembl:lincRNA
AGUGCGCAUGCGCGGCCUGCCGGGGGCGGCCUCUUGCAGUUCCCGCCCUGACGCAGCGCGAGAUUAGAGCUCCCGCUAGUCUCCAGCUGACCCUGGGCCUCAAAGGCAAGCCCUGAGCUCAGUCACACGGGGUGGCGGUGAUAUGGUUUGGCUCUGUGUGCUUCACUCUGCCUCACUCGCCUUCCGCCUGCUGGACGCUGCCCUGUUCCCCGCAGGCGGCCGCCGUGGAGGGCAGGCACCGCGCUCCCUGGCUGCUCCCGGGGCCUUCCAAGCACAGCCACGGCCAUGAGGCAGAAACCGAGACCUUCAGGGGCCUGCGGGCGGAGCUCCACAAGCCCAGCUGCUACACUGAAGGGAAGAACCUGAGGAAGCCCCUGACCUUCUUGAAUAACCUGGAUAUUGCAGAAUCAAGCCUGGCACACGGCACUGGCAGAGACGCAGAAGGGAAAGUGUCCAGCGAUGAGAGUGUUCGAGUGCCCCAAAAUGUGGAAUUCAUGGUAAUCUGACUUGGUUGCCUUGAAGAUCACUUGUGAAC